rnacentral:rRNA from 1 species
UACGUAGGGUGCGAGCGUUGUUCGGAAUUACUGGGCGUAAAGAGCUCGUAGGCGGUUUGUCGCGUUGUCCGUGAAAACUCACAACUCAAUUGUGGGCGUGCGGGCGAUACGGGCAGACUGGAGUACUGCAGGGGAGACUGGAAUUCCUGGUGUAGCGGUGGAAUGCGCAGAUAUCAGGAGGAACACCGGUGGCGAAGGCGGGUCUCUGGGCAGUAACUGACGCUGAGGAGCGAAAGCGUGGGGAGCGAACAGG